UCUUGAUUGAGUAGGACUAUGAAAUGCAUGGCCAUGCUCAAAUAGUGAUUUAUUUCAUAUAGUCUACUCAUUGAUCAAGAAAACUCAGAUUAAAUUAUGAAGAGUAUGACACAUUCCAUGACUCGAGUUUAAUCUAGGAUAUUAAGGUUAAAAGGAUUAAAUUACAUUGAAACAUUGGUCACAAAAAGGUUGCAUCGAAUCAUCGAUCUUAU
rnacentral:lncRNA from 1 species